ensembl:lncRNA
UUUUUCUGGUGAUCCCUGCAUGCCUGAGGUCUUCUGAAAGUAAGAGAGAAUAGAUCUGAAUCCACAUGUGUACAAGAAAUAGGAGUCCUGAGCAUCCACUGCUUCCUAUCAUCCUUUGUUUUCUGUCUGUGGGAAGUGAGCCAAGGCCUGUGUGGUGCUUAAGCUGUCUGCUGGGUUAAACCACACAUUACAGAAAUCCAUUCCCUAUAGAACUCUGGAUCCAACAGUGAAAAGGCACUUACAAUGUGACUUUGAAGAUGGAAUUCCAACAGUACAAUGAAAGACAAAGAAAGCUACUCUAUACAUAUCUUGGUAUUGCAGGGAUCUGGGAAGGGGACUGCAUAUUUAAGUGUAAAGUAGGGAUACCAAGCAUCUAUUCUGUGGCUGAAUCUGAGGAGGUCACAGGGAAAACGUUCAGCUCACAAAGCAAAAAUGUUUGCGUGGGAGGAGGGUAGGUCAGAAGAAGUAAAGAGGAGUAUUGAUUGAGGUCCUAUCUGAAUUCCACCUAAAUCACUGUAAAGUAGAAAUUUCUCCAUCAGACUCAAGAAGGCCUUGGUAGUUAUGUCCUAUUUUCAUUGUAGUUCAGUGACUGGGUACCAUAGUAACUUCAUAAUUAUUGCUGUGCUAAGCAAUACCUCUGAUUCUAAUUAACAGAAGUACUGUCAGAUCUCAUGUGUUACUGUAGCAGUAGUUUUUCUACCCUGUUUGGGACCAUAUUUGUUUCACUAGAGCAGUGAAAGCGUAAUAUACUACAUAUAAUUCCAAAUGAGGUAUAUUAAAUUAAACUCUUUCUUACAUUUAAUGCCAUAUACUGCCUUUAAAUUAUUGGAGUUUACUUUUCAAACUUCAUAUUAAAUUUAUCCACUGAUAACAUUUCUGCAGGAAAAAAAUGGAAAAGUUGACUCCUAAGACUUAGGGAAAUCUAUAGGAAAGGAACCAACUUCUCAAAUUGUCAUUUACAUUUGUGCUUUCGAGUCUGGAAUACAUGUACAGAUCAGAUAGCAUUAAAUGUAAAUAAAAAUAAGCAUUAGUUAAUUAGUUCCUACCAAACAAACAAACAAACAAAAGAAACAGUGACACUGAAACUAGUACUUCUACAAUUGCUGCUCCAAAAGUAAUGCCUUCUAUUUUAUUCUGUUGGUCCACUGUGUCAGAGGUGGAUGUUGGUGGUAUGGAGCUAGAGGUUGAAUCUUCCCACCAAUUACAUUCCAUUACAUUUUGCUGCCACACAACAGGUGGCAGCAGAGGAGCAGUGUGACAAAUAGUGUGGAGUACAUACGAAGCAAAGGUGUGAUUACAAUCAAGGUACAUGUAAUUGAAUUCCUUCACAUCGAAAGAAAAAAAAUGGCACCUAUUUUCACCAAUGCUUGUUGAUUGUUGAUGGAGACCAAACAGUGGAUGUAGCCCAGUGAGGUAGUGGGUGGUGCAUUGCAACAGUGACAGUAGAUCAUGUCCACUGGUGAAGAUCAUUAUGAGUGUGGUAUGCAGGCUCUUGUUCAUUACUGGUGGAAAUGCAUACGUAAUGGUGAUGAGUGUGUUGAAAAAUAGUGUUCUAUAGCUGAGGAUUUACUCUAUCAUAUAGUGUUAUUGUGCUCUUUGUAUUCAUUUUAUUUUCCAUGGAAAAAAUUGGAGGCGUUACUUCUGGAGUGACCUAUGGUAUAUCACCUGCAGUGCUCAAUGAACUCCUUACGUUUGAAAAUACUUAUUACUGUUUUGUUUAUAACAGCAUCAUAAAUUUCAUCUUAACUAUAUUCAAAUUUUUCAAGGUUGUG